rnacentral:rRNA from 1 species
UACGAAGGGUGCAAGCGUUGUCCGGAAUUAUUGGGCGUAAAGAGCUCGUAGGCGGCUUGUCACGUCGGAUGUGAAAGCCCGGGGCUUAACUCCGGGUCUGCAUUCGAUACGGGCUGGCUAGAGUGUGGUAGGGGAGAUCGGAAUUCCUGGUGUAGCGGUGAAAUGCGCAGAUAUCAGGAGGAACACCGGUGGCGAAGGCGGAUCUCUGGGCCAUUACUGACGCUGAGGAGCGAAAGCGUGGGGAGCGAACAGG